rnacentral:rRNA from 1 species
GUAUGAAAGGCACCACGAAGGUUCAACUGUCUCCCCCCUCUAGUCAGUGAAACUGAUCUCCCCGUGCAGAAGCGGGGAUGAGCCCACAAGACGAGAAGACCCUAUGGAGCUUAAAACACCGGGCACCUGCUUCCUACCUAGAACCUAACAGGUUAAACCUUCAACCAGGCAGAGAUGACCCCAUGUUUUCGGUUGGGGCGACCACGGAGAAUAAAUCAUCCUCCAAGAAGAAGCGGACCUCGCAUCCUUAACUAAGGGCGACAGCCCUAAGUACCAGAACUUCUGACUACCUUUGAUCCAGUCUAACUGAUCAACGAACCAAGUUACCCUAGGGAUAACAGCGCAAUCCACUUAGAAAGUUCAUAUCGACAAGUGG